UAUUACGAACUAUCAAACGAUUUUUAGUUUCAUGAAAGUGCAGUGGGAACAUGGGGUGUGUGAUCAAUAUUGUGAAAUAUAUUUUGUUUGCUGUAAAUUCUUUAUACUCUAUAUUGGGUAUUGGAAUUUUGGCGAUUGGUGCACUGGUCAUCUCUCAAUUUGAUGUCUCGAACAAAGAUGAACUGAAUUAUUUAUCAUUAUGGUUCAUCAUCAGCGGAUGCUUUUUGUUUUUAAUAGCCCUAUUUGGCUGCUGUGGAGUUAUCACAGAAAAAACAUACCUUCUUUUAGUGUUUACAUUGUUUAUGACAAUAUUACUAUCCGCUAAGAUUUAUGUGGUUGUAGAAAUACGUCAGUCACUGAUCGAAGAAGAAGUAAAAGAUGCACUCAAUGAAAUAUUUAGUGACCCUCACUCACAAGAAUCAUUUUAUUUAAUGGAAAGUGUGCUUAAAUGUUGCGGAACGACGGGUGCAGAAUCGUAUGAAAAACUUAAUAUGACACUAUCAAUAACUUGCUGUCCUCUGCCAGAAUCCUCCGAGUUCGAAUUAUGUUCCAAAGAAAACGCCUACGAUGGAUGUGUAAAAGCUGUAAUGAAAUUACUUAAUUCAAUAUCUGAUGCAGUGUUCUAUGCUGUUUUGGCUAUAAUAAUCAUCGAGGCUGUCGGCGUAAUUUUCGCAUCGUGCCUGAUCUAUGAGAUAUGCAAAAAGAAGAAGAAAUUAAAUUACUAUCAACGCUCUUAACAAACGUUGUGAUUUAGAUGUUAUAAAAAUAAUACGAUGGAGAAUAAUACAAAGUAAUAAAAACCAAAAUAAUGGGCAUUAUUUGGAGAAAAUCAAAUAAAUACUGAUUAUUUCAAAAAGUAA